UCCACCCUCAAGCCUCUACGGGUUUGGUGUUGGGGCUCUUCUACGGUGCGGGUUCCCCGCUCGUAGGCCCUCAAAGUCAGUGGCGGGCUCGCUAGCACUCCGGGCGUAGUAGCUUUUACACGCCGCCUAGGGGACCUAGCGGGUAACCAGCCGUUAAACCGCGACUCCGGUCGCACACCUAA
rnacentral:misc_RNA from 1 species